rnacentral:rRNA from 1 species
CCUACGGGAGGCAGCAGUGGGGAAUAUUGGGCAAUGGGCGCAAGCCUGACCCAGCAACGCCGCGUGAAGGAAGAAGGCUUUCGGGUUGUAAACUUCUUUUCUCAGGGACGAAGAAAGUGACGGUACCUGAGGAAUAAGCCACGGCUAACUACGUGCCAGCAGCCGCGGUAAUACGUAGGUGGCAAGCGUUAUCCGGAUUUACUGGGUGUAAAGGGCGUGUAGGCGGGAAAGCAAGUCAGAUGUGAAAACCAUGGGCUCAACCUGUGGACUGCAUUUGAAACUGUUUUUCUUGAGUACUGGAGAGGCAGACGGAAUUCCUAGUGUAGCGGUGAAAUGCGUAGAGAUUAGGAGGAACACCAGUGGCGAAGGCGGUCUGCUGGACAGCAACUGACGCUGAGGCGCGAAAGCGUGGGGAGCAAACAGGAUUAGAUACCCUUGUAGUC